CCUUCCGUUUACUCAGGGAUAGCCUUUCGAAAGAAAGAUUAAUACCUGAUAGUAUGGUGAGAUUGCAUGAUAACACCAUUAAAGAUUUAUUGGUAAACGAUGGGGAUGCGUUCCAUUAGGUAGUAGGCGGGGUAACGGCCCACCUAGCCUGCGAUGGAUAGGGGUUCUGAGAGGAAGGUCCCCCACAUUGGAACUGAGACACGGUCCAAACUCCUACGGGAGGCAGCAGUGAGGAAUAUUGGUCAAUGGGCGAGGGCCUGAACCAGCCAAGUAGCGUGAAGGAUGAAGGUCCUACGGAUUGUAAACUUCUUUUAUACGGGAAUAAAGUAUCCUACGUGUAGGAUUUUGUAUGUACCGUAUGAAUAAGCAUCGGCUAACUCCGUGCCAGCAGCCGCGGUAAUACGGAGGAUGCGAGCGUUAUCCGGAUUUAUUGGGUUUAAAGGGAGCGCAGACGGGAGAUUAAGUCAGUUGUGAAAGUUUGCGGCUCAACCGUAAAAUUGCAGUUGAUACUGGUUUCCUUGAGUGCAGUUGAGGCAGGCGGAAUUCGUGGUGUAGCGGUGAAAUGCUUAGAUAUCACGAAGAACCCCGAUUGCGAAGGCAGCUUGCUAAACUGUAACUGACGUUCAUGCUCGAAAGUGUGGGUAUCAAACAGGAUUAGAUACCCUGGUAGUCCACACGGUAAACGA
rnacentral:rRNA from 1 species